rnacentral:lncRNA from 1 species
CCCGGUUCACUUACCGUUGUAUCUACUUCAUCCUUAGGGAGCAGUGCUGCUGUCCAGGAAGAAGCUGUGUGUCUGGAGGUGGCUCUUUUCUGCGAUCCUCAAGGAGAGGUUUCCUUCGUACACUCCAUCUUUUAUGACAAAUUACUCACACCAAAGGGCUUCCCAGCGGCUCAGCUGAUACUGAACCCACCUUCCAAUGCAGGAGAUACGCGAGAUGCAGGUUCCAUCCCCGAGUCAAGAAGAUCCCCCGGAGAUGGAAAUGGCAAGCUGCUCCAGUGGACAGAGGAGCCUGGCAGGCUGCAGCCCAUGGGGUCGCAAAGAGUUGGACAUGACUGAGCAUGCACACAUCAGGAGGCAUCCGCACCAACCUCUCUUCAGUGUCAAAUACCAGCUUGGAAGAUGUCCUGAACGACACGGAAGUUGUCAGCUCAAGUCCAGGUAGGACUCCAUGGAGGUGAAGCCAGCCUUUGGGGAAGGAAGUGGUUCUUGGUCGGCUCUGGGUCACAGAGGUAGGUCUUCUGCCUUGUGUUUGUUUCAAUGGCAGUAGG